GCCCGUCCCUUCCUCUGGUCUCCUCCCGUUCUCCCCAUCCGCCUUUCCCCUCUCCCGGUGUCGGUCCCACGGCUCGGCCCCCCGGUCCCGCCUGGAACGUGUUUAAUCCAGCUCAGCUAUUGCGGGGGCUCGGCUGCCAGGAUGAAACAAGCCUGGCGUUUCUCACAUGAAAACUGCUAUUUUUCAAAUUAUCGCUUAUCCCCUUGCAGGCAGCCUGUAACAGCAAGAUCCGUGUAAUUCCUGCUUUUGGGCUGCGAAUAUCCAGGAAUGAGCACUAAUCCCGCAGUCUGGGGCAAAGUAACAUCAUGGAAACCUACCAGAGAGGUUCGGGAAAGCUGAACCUCGGCUGGAAACACCCGCAUUGUGUCCCAUGCGUGAGGUCCUGGUCUGGGAGGGCAAUAAACCAUCCUAGGAGCCCUCAUCUCCACGGCAAGUCCCGCUUUUGAAA